GUGCUCGCUUCGGCAGCACAUAAACUAAAAUUGGAACGAUACAGAGAAGAUUAGCAUGGCCCCUGCACAAGGAUGACAGGCAAAUUCGUGAAGCAUUCCAUAUUUUU
rnacentral:snRNA from 1 species